AGAGUUUGAUCAUGGCUCAGGAUGAACGCUGGCGGCGUGCCUAAUACAUGCAAGUCGAGCGAGAAUCUGAUGAUUGGAGAUUCGUCAGAGAGAAUCAGAGGAAAGCGGCGGACGGGUGAGUAACGCGUAGGCAACCUGCCCUUAGCGGAGGGAUAGCCAUUGGAAACGAUGAUUAAAACCUCAUAAUGCUGCAAGAGCACAUGCUCAUGCAGCCAAAGAUUUAUCGGCUAAGGAUGGGCCUGCGUCUGAUUAACUAGUUGGUGGGGUAACGGCUCACCAAGGUGACGAUCAGUAGCCGACCUGAGAGGGUGAUCGGCCACAUUGGAACUGAGACACGGUCCAAACUUCUACGGAAGGCAGCAGUAAGGAAUCUUGCACAAUGGGGGAGACCGUGAUGCAGCACCGCCGCGUGAACGAUGAAGGCCUUAGGGUUGUAAACCUCUUUCAGCAGGGAAGAAGGAAGUGACGGUACCUGCAGAAGAAGUCACGGCUAACUACGUGCCAGCAGCCGCGGUAAUACGUAGGUGGCAAGCGUUAUCCGGAAUUACUGGGUGUAAAGGGUGUGUAGGCGGGUAGACAAGUCAGACGUGAAAACUUAAGGCUCAACCUUAAGCCUGCGUUUGAAACUGUUUAUCUUGAGAGUGGGAGAGGUAAACGGAAUUCCUGGUGUAGUAGUGAAAUGCGUAGAUAUCAGGAGGAACACCGGUGGCGAAGGCGGUUUACUGGACCACAACUGACGCUGAGACACGAAAGCGUGGGGAGCAAACAGGAUUAGAUACCCUGSUAGUCCACGCCGUAAACGAUGAAUACUAGGUGUGGGGGCCGAAUGGUUUCCGKGCCGCAGUUAACACAAUAAGUAUUCCACCUGGGGAGUACGGCCGCAAGGUUGAAACUCAAAGGAAUUGACGGGAGCCCGCACAAGCAGUGGAGUAUGUGGAUUAAUUCGAUGCAACGCGAAGAACCUUACCGGAGCUUGACAUCCGCGGAAGGCCUGAUAGAGAGGGCCGUGCCCUUCGGGGAGCCGCGAGACAGGUGGUGCAUGGUUGUCGUCAGCUCGUGUCGUGAGAUGUUGGGUUAAGUCCCGCAACGAGCGCAACCCUUACGGUUAGUUGCUACGUAAGAGCACUCUAGCCGGACUGCCGUUGACAAAACGGAGGAAGGUGGGGACGACGUCAAAUCAUCAUGCCCCUUACGUUCCGGGCCUCACACGUACUACAAUGGCGCAAACAAAGGGAAGCGAGUACGCGAGUAGGAGCGAAUCCCAAAAAAGACGUCUCAGUUCGGAUUGCAGGCUGCAACCCGCCUGCAUGAAGUUGGAAUUGCUAGUAAUCGCGGAUCAGCAUGCCGCGGUGAAUACGUUCCCGGGCUUUGUACACACCGCCCGUCAAACCAUGAAAGUUGGGAACACCCGAAGCCGGUGAGCUAACCGCAAGGAGGCAGCCGUCGAAGGUGGGUUCAAUGAUUGGGGUUAAGUCGUAACAAGGUAGCCGUA
rnacentral:rRNA from 1 species